rnacentral:rRNA from 1 species
GAUGAACGCUGGCGGCGUGCCUAAUACAUGCAAGUCGAGCGAACAGACGAGGAGCUUGCUCCUCUGACGUUAGCGGCGGACGGGUGAGUAACACGUGGAUAACCUACCUAUAAGACUGGGAUAACUUCGGGAAACCGGAGCUAAUACCGGAUAAUAUAUUGAACCGCAUGGUUCAAUAGUGAAAGACGGUUUUGCUGUCACUUAUAGAUGGAUCCGCGCCGCAUUAGCUAGUUGGUAAGGUAACGGCUUACCAAGGCAACGAUGCGUAGCCGACCUGAAGGGGUGAUCGGCCACACUGGAACUGAGACACGGUCCAGACUCCUACGGGGGGCAGCAGUAGGGAAUCUUCCGCAAUGGGCGAAAGCCUGACGGAGCAACGCCGCGUGAGUGAUGAAGGUCUUCGGAUCGUAAAACUCUGUUAUUAGGGAAGAACAAAUGUGUAAGUAACUAUGCACGUCUUGACGGUACCUAAUCAGAAAGCCACGGCUAACUCCGUG